AUUGAACGCUGGCGGCAGGCCUAACACAUGCAAGUCGAACGAGUGGCGGACGGGUGAGUAAUGUCUGGGAAACUGCCCGAUGGAGGGGGAUAACUACUGGAAACGGUAGCUAUUACCGCAUACCAUCGGAUGUGCCCAGAUGGGAUUAGCUAGUAGGUGGGGUAAAGGGUCACCUAGGCGACGCUCCCUAGCUGGUCUGAGAGGAUGACCGGCCAAACGGGAACUGAGACACUGUCCAGACUCCUACGCGAGGCAGCAGUGUGGAAUAGUGCACAAUGGGCGCAAGCCUGAUGCAGCCAUGCCGCGUGUAUGAAGAAGGCCUUCGGGUUGUAAAGUACUUUCAGCGGGGAGGCGUUACCCGCAGAAGAAGCACCGGCUAACUCCGUGCCAGCAGCCGCGGUAAUUC
rnacentral:rRNA from 1 species